CGCUUUCCGCCAUUUAAAAUGGGAAGUCGGGCCUGCCCAGUGGAGAGUUACUAAAUGGCUGCAACUAGUUUGUACUAAGGUAGCGCGGUAAUUUGUCCCUUAAUUGGGGGAUGGUAUGAAAGGCUUGUCUUAAGUUUUUUGUCUCAAAAAGACAAAGUGAAGUUUCCUUUUAGAUGAAAAGGUCUAAAUAAAAAUAAAAGACGAGAAGACCCUGUCGAGCUUAAUUAAACUAAGGAUGAUAGAAUUUUUAGUCAAAAUGUAGUUGGGGAAAGUUAGGCUUGAGAUAAUAAGCUUUUUAAGGUGAAGAUCCUUUUUGAGAGAAAUUAGCAAAAGCUACCGCAGGGAUAACAGCGUAAUCUCUCUCCAGUGGCAUAGCUAUUUAGAGGGGGGUUUGCGACCUCGAUGUUGGAUUAGAAAAACUUCUCGGCUAGAUGUCAAAAUAGUGAGACUGUUCGUCUCUUAAACUUCU
rnacentral:rRNA from 1 species